rnacentral:rRNA from 1 species
AGAGCGAACGCUGGCGGCAGGCCUAAAACAUGCAAGUCGAACGGACCCUUCGGGGUUAGUGGCGGACGGGUGAGUAACACGUGGGAACGUGCCUUUUGGUUCAGAACAACUCAGGGAAACUUGAGCUAAUACUGAAUAAGCCCUACGGGGGAAAGAUUUAUCGCCAUUAGAGCGGCCCGCGUUGGAUUAGCUAGUUGGUGAGGUAAAGGCUCACCAAGGCUACGAUCCAUAGCUGGUCUGAGAGGAUGAUCAGCCACACUGGGACUGAGACACGGCCCAGACUCCUACGGGAGGCAGCAGUUAGGAAUCUUGCGCAAUGGGCGAAAGCCUGACGCAGCCAUGCCGCGUGAAUGAUGAAGGUCUUAGGAUUGUAAAAUUCUUUCAGCGGGGAAGAUAAUGACUGUACCCGCAGAGAAGCUCCGGCUAACUUCGUGCCAGCAGCCGC